rnacentral:rRNA from 1 species
CCCUUAGAUGUUCUGGGCUGCACGCGCGCUACACUGAUACUUUCAGCGAGUCCACCACCUUGCCUGAGAGGGUGGGGUAACCUCUGGAAAGUGUAUCGUGAUGGGGAUCGAUUAUUGUAAUUAUUAAUCUUCAACGAGGAAUUCCUAGUAAGCAUGUGUCAUCAGCCCGUGCUGAUUACGUCCCUGCCCUUUGUACACACCGCCCGUCGCUCCUACCGAUUGAUUGAUCCGGUGAAUUACAUAGAAUUUUGCGUUUUACAUGACGGAAGACGAAGUGUUUUAAACCUUAUCAUUUAGAGGAAGGAGAAGUCGUAACA